AGAGCGAACGCUGGCGGCAGGCUUAACACAUGCAAGUCGAGCGCCCCGCAAGGGGAGCGGCAGACGGGUGAGUAACGCGUGGGAACGUACCUUUUGGUUCGGAACAACACAGGGAAACUUGUGCUAAUACCGGAUAAGCCCUUACGGGGAAAGAUUUAUCGCCGAAAGAUCGGCCCGCGUCUGAUUAGCUAGUUGGUGAGGUAACGGCUCACCAAGGCGACGAUCAGUAGCUGGUCUGAGAGGAUGAUCAGCCACAUUGGGACUGAGACACGGCCCAAACUCCUACGGGAGGCAGCAGUGGGGAAUAUUGGACAAUGGGCGCAAGCCUGAUCCAGCCAUGCCGCGUGAGUGAUGAAGGCCCUAGGGUUGUAAAGCUCUUUUAACGGGGAAGAUAAUGACGGUACCCGUAGAAUAAGCCCCGGCUAACUUCGCGCCAGCAGCCGC
rnacentral:rRNA from 1 species